rnacentral:rRNA from 1 species
GACAGAGGGUGCAAACGUUGUUCGGAAUUACUGGGCGUAAAGGGCUCGUAGGCGGCCAACUAAGUCGGAUGUGAAAUCCCCAGGCUUAACCUGGGAACUGCAUCCGAUACUGGAUGGCUUGAAUCCGGGAGAGGGAUGCAGAAUUCCAGGUGUAGCGGUGAAAUGCGUAGAUAUCUGGAGGAAUACCGGUGGCGAAGGCGGCAUCCUGGACCGGCACUGACGCUGAGGAGCGAAAGCUAGGGGAGCAAACGGG